rnacentral:rRNA from 1 species
CACAAGCGGCGGAGCAUGCGGAUUUAAUUCGAUGCAACGCGAAGAACUUACCUGGGCUUGACAUCCCGAUCGUACUUUCUGGAAACAGUUAGGUCAGUUCGGCUGGGAUCGGUGACAGGUGCUGCAUGACUGUCGUCAGCUCGUGUCGUGAGAUGUUGGGUUAAGUCCCGCAACGAGCGCAACCCCCGCCGUUAGUUGCCAGCGGUUCGGCCGGGCACUCUAACGGGACUGCCCGCGAAAAGCGGGAGGAAGGAGGGGACGACGUCUGGUCAGCAUGGCCCUUACGGCCUGGGCGACACACGUGCUACAAUGCCCACUACAAAGCGAUGCCACCCGGCAACGGGGAGCUAAUCGCAAAAAGGUGGGCCCAGUUCGGAUUGGGGUCUGCAACCCGACCCCAUGAAGCCGGAAUCGCUAGUAAUCGCGGAUCAGCCAUGCCGCGGUGAAUACGUUCCCGGGCCUU